UACGGAGGGUGCGAGCGUUAAUCGGAAUUACUGGGCGUAAAGCGCACGCAGGCGGUUAGAUAAGUCGGAUGUGAAAGCCCUGGGCUUAACCUGGGAACUGCAUUCGAUACUGUCUAGCUAGAGUAUGGGAGAGGGAAGGGGAAUUUCCGGUGUAGCGGUGAAAUGCGUAGAUAUCGGAAGGAACACCGAUGGCGAAGGGAGCUCCCUGGCCCAAUACUGACGCGCAGGUGCGAAAGCGUGGGGAGCAAACAGG
rnacentral:rRNA from 1 species